UACGAAGGGGGCUAGCGUUGUUCGGAAUCACUGGGCGUAAAGGGCGCGUAGGCGGCCGAUCAAGUCGGGGGUGAAAGCCUGUGGCUCAACCACAGAAUUGCCUUCGAUACUGUUUGGCUUGAGACCGGAAGAGGUUAGUGGAACUGCGAGUGUAGAGGUGAAAUUCGUAGAUAUUCGCAAGAACACCAGUGGCGAAGGCGGCUGACUGCGUUCGUACGUGACGCUGAGGUGCGAAAGCGUGGGGAGCAAACAGG
rnacentral:rRNA from 1 species